rnacentral:rRNA from 1 species
GCAUAUCAAUAAGCGGAGGAAAAGAAACCAACAGGGAUUGCCUCAGUAACGGCGAGUGAAGCGGCAACAGCUCAAAUUUGAAAUCCGGCCCCCCGGGCCCGAGUUGUAAUUUGCAGAGGAUGCUUCUGGCGCGGUGCCUUCCAAGUCCCCUGGAACGGGGCGCCAUAGAGGGUGAGAGCCCCGUCGGGUCGGCCGCCAAGCCUGUGUGAAGCUCCUUCGACGAGUCGAGUAGUUUGGGAAUGCUGCUCUAAAUGGGAGGUAGACCCCUUCUAAAGCUAAAUACCGGCCAGAGACCGAUAGCGCACAAGUAGAGUGAUCGAAAGAUGAAAAGCACUUUGAAAAGAGGGUUAAACAGUACGUGAAAUUGUUGAAAGGGAAGCGCUCGCGACCAGACGUGCGCCGGGGUGCUCAGCGGGCGUUCUCGCCCGCGCACUCGCCCCGGCGCAGGCCAGCGUCGGUUUGGACGGGGGGAGAAAGACGCCGGGAACGUGGCUCCUCCGGGAGUGUUACAGCCCGGCGUGCCAUGCCCCCGCCCGGACCGAGGUUCGCGCUCCGCAAGGACGCUGGCGUAAUGGUCCCCAGCGGCCCGUCUUGAAACACGGACCAAGGAGUCGAGGUUUUGCGCGAGUGUUUGGGUGGCAAACCCGCACGCGUAAUGAAAGUGAACGCAGGUGGGAGCUUCGGCGCACCACCGACCGAUCCUGAUGUUCUCGGAUGGAUUUGAGUAGGAGCGUAGGGCCUCGGACCCGAAAGAUGGUGAACUAUACGUGGAUAGGGUGAAGCCAGAGGAAACUCUGGUGGAGGCUCGCAGCGGUUCUGACGUGCAAAUCGAUCGUCAAAUCUGCGUAUGGGGGCGAAAGACUAAUCGAACCAUCUAGUAGCUGGUUACCGCCGA